rnacentral:rRNA from 1 species
GACGAACGCUGGCGGCGUGCUUAACACAUGCAAGUCGAACGGAAAGGCCUGCUUUCCCUUGUGGAUUGCGGGUACUCGAGUGGCGAACGGGUGAGUAACACGUGAGUGAUCUGCCCCCAACUUGGGUAUAAGCCUGGGAAACUGGGUCUAAUUCCCGAUAGGACUGCAGGGUGGUGCCUGUGGUGGAAAACGAUUUUCUAGUGGUUGGGGAUGAGCUCGCGGCCUAUCAGCUUGUUGGUGGGGUAAUGGCCUACCAAGGCGGCGACGGGUAGCCGGCCUGGGAGGGUGGACGGCCACAUUGGGACUGGGAUACGGCCCAGAUUCCUACGGGAGGCAGCAGUGGGGAAUAUUGCACAAUGGGCGGAAGCCUGAUGCAGCGCCGCCGCGUGGGGGAUGACGCCUUCGGGUUGUAAACUCCUUUCGACCGCGAGGAAGCCACCUGGUUGGAAGGGUGGUGACGGUAGUGGUAGAAGAAGCACCGGCUAACUACGUG